rnacentral:tRNA from 1 species
AGGGACUUAGGAUAGCACCAGACCAAGAGCCUUCAAAGCCCUAAGCGGAGGUGAAAAUCCUCCAGUCCCUG